rnacentral:rRNA from 1 species
UACGUAGGGUGCGAGCGUUAAUCGGAAUUACUGGGCGUAAAGCGUGCGCAGGCGGUUUUGCAAGCCGGAUGUGAAAUCCCCGGGCUUAACCUGGGAAUGGCAUUUGGGACUGCAAGGCUGGAGUGCGGCAGAGGAGACUGGAAUUCCCGGUGUAGCAGUGAAAUGCGUAGAUAUCGGGAGGAAUACCGAUGGCGAAGGCAGGUCUCUGGGCUGACACUGACGCUCAUGCACGAAAGCGUGGGGAGCAAACAGG